UACGUAGGGUCCGAGCGUUGUCCGGAAUUAUUGGGCGUAAAGAGCUCGUAGGCGGUCUGUCACGUCGGCUGUGAAAACACGGGGCUCAACUCCGUGCCUGCAGUCGAUACGGGCAGACUAGAGUUCGGUAGGGGAGACUGGAAUUCCUGGUGUAGCGGUGGAAUGCGCAGAUAUCAGGAGGAACACCGGUGGCGAAGGCGGGUCUCUGGGCAGUAACUGACGCUGAGGAGCGAAAGCGUGGGGAGCGAACAGG
rnacentral:rRNA from 1 species